GACGAACGCUGGCGGCGUGCCUAAUACAUGCAAGUAGAACGCUGAAGGAGGAGCUUGCUUCUCUGUAUGAGUUGCGAACGGGUGAGUAACGCGUAGGUAACCUGCCUGGUAGCGGGGGAUAACUAUUGGAAACGAUAGCUAAUACCGCAUAAUAGUAUAUGUUGCAUGACAUUUGCUUAAAAGGUGCAAUUGCAUCACUACCAGAUGGACCUGCGUUGUAUUAGCUAGUUGGUUGGGUAAAGGCUCACCAAGGCGACGAUACAUAGCCGACCUGAGAGGGUGGUCGGCCACACUGGGACUGCGACACGGCCCCAGCUCCCACUGGGGGCAACCGUAGGGAAUCUUCGGCCAUGGGCGGAAGUCUGACCGCGCAACGCCGCGUGAGUGAAGAAGGUUUUCCGAUCGUAAAACUCUGUUGUAAGAGAAGAACGAGUGUGAGAGUAGAAAGUUCACACUGUGACGUUAUCUUACCAGAAAGGGACGGCUAACUACGUG
rnacentral:rRNA from 1 species